rnacentral:rRNA from 1 species
UGGGGAAUUUUGCACAAUGGGGGAAACCCUGAUGCAGCGACGCCGCGUGAUUUAGAAGGCCUUCGGGUUGUAAAAAUCUUUUGUAUGGGAAGAAAAUGACAGUACCAUACGAAUAAGGACCGGCUAAUUACGUGCCAGCAGCCGCGGUAAUACGUAAGGUCCGAGCGUUGUCCGGAAUCAUUGGGCGUAAAGGGUACGUAGGCGGAUAAGCAAGUUAGAAGUGAAAUCCUAUAGCUCAACUAUAGUAAGCUUUUAAAACUGCUCAUCUUGAGGUAUGGAAGGGAAAGUGGAAUUCCUAGUGUAGCGGUGAAAUGCGCAGAUAUUAGGAGGAAUACCGGUGGCGAAUGCGACUUUCUGGCCAUAAUCUGACGCUGAGGUACGAAAGCGUGGGUAGCAAACAGG